rnacentral:rRNA from 1 species
UACGAAGGGGGCUAGCGUUGCUCGGAAUCACUGGGCGUAAAGCGCACGUAGGCGGACUCUUAAGUCGGUGGUGAAAUCCUGGAGCUCAACUCCAGAACUGCCUUCGAUACUGAGAGUCUCGAGUCCGAGAGAGGUGAGUGGAACUGCGGGUGUAGAGGUGAAAUUCGUAGAUAUUCGCAAGAACACCAGUGGCGAAGGCGGCUCACUGGCCCGGUACUGACGCUGAGGUGCGAAAGCGUGGGGAGCAAACAGG